AACAAGUAGCAACCCUCAAGCAGCUAGG
rnacentral:piRNA from 1 species